GCUGUCUUUUGUUUCUGUCUGUCGCUCUACUGGGACACGGGCAUAACAGAGAGAGAUCAAGUUAUCGGUAGACGUUUUUUUUUUUUUUUUUGUUUCGCUCGGCACACACUCUGCUUUGGCGGGAAUUUGCGCACGGCGUUAAAAUGAAAUGAAGUUGAAUACGCCACGUGAAGACAGAUGAACUUCACCGAUGCGGGAGUUCAACUCCAGAAGAAGGCGUGGAACGACGCCAUGGACGCAAGGAUUGGGGCAGCUGUGGCCAUGAAGAACCUGGCCACGACCGUAUGGGGUUCGGACGUGCUGCUCACGAGGACUGUGACAGGAGUUCCGUCGAAUGCCAACAAGGACAAAGAACCCAGGCCACCUUUGACACCCAAGAAGGUGGCAUUCUUAAGAGAGUGCCUCAUCAAAAAACUUCAUGCACAAGCGAUCCACCCAGAGGUGAUAGCAGCCCAGGCCACCACCACCAGGGUCAACAGGAUCUUGGGGGAAAAGAUCAACGACCUUAGACGCCGGGACAGGCGUUUACCAAAGGAGUAAAU